rnacentral:rRNA from 1 species
UACGAAGGGUGCAAGCGUUACUCGGAAUUACUGGGCGUAAAGCGUGCGCAGGCGGCUUCUCAAGUCAGGGGUGAAAGCCCAGAGCUCAACUCUGGAAUUGCCUUUGAGACUGAGUGGCUUGAGUACGGGAGAGGUGAGUGGAAUUCCCAGUGUAGAGGUGAAAUUCGUAGAUAUUGGGAGGAACACCGGUGGCGAAGGCGGCUCCCUGGCCCGUAACCGACGCUCAUGCACGACAGCGUGGGGAUCAAACAGG